rnacentral:sRNA from 10 species
UUGCUAUCUGCGAUAUGGAAGAUUCGAACCUGCUGCAGGUUCGGGUCGAACGCAGUGAGACAACGGAGCCGUUUACGGCGACGGCCCGUAGGGCGAGCGAAGCGAGUCAUCCUGCACGACCCACCA